rnacentral:rRNA from 1 species
CAGUAGCCGCGGGAAUACGAAGGGGGCUAGCGUUGCUCGGAAUGACUGGGCGUAAAGGGCGCGUAGGCGGCGAUCAAAGUCAGGCGUGAAAUUCCUGGGCUCAACCUGGGGGCUGCGUUUGAUACUUGAUUGCUAGAGUGGGGAAGAGGGUCGUGGAAUUCCCAGUGUAGAGGUGAAAUUCGUAGAUAUUGGGAAGAACACCGGUGGCGAAGGCGGCGACCUGGUCCUUGACUGACGCUGAGGCGCGAAAGCGUGGGGAGCAAACAGGAUUAGAGACCCCUGUAGUCCCUGUCUCUUAUAC